GACGAACGCUGGCGGCGUGCUUAACACAUGCAAGUCGAACGGAAAGGCCCUGCUUUUGUGGGGUGCUCGAGUGGCGAACGGGUGAGUAACACGUGAGUAACCUGCCCUUGACUUUGGGAUAACUUCAGGAAACUGGGGCUAAUACCGGAUAGGAGCUCCUGCUGCAUGGUGGGGGUUGGAAAGUUUCGGCGGUUGGGGAUGGACUCGCGGCUUAUCAGCUUGUUGGUGGGGUAGUGGCUUACCAAGGCUUUGACGGGUAGCCGGCCUGAGAGGGUGACCGGCCACAUUGGGACUGAGAUACGGCCCAGACUCCUACGGGAGGCAGCAGUGGGGAAUAUUGCACAGUGGGCGGAAGCCUUAUGCAGCAACGCCGCGUGCGGGAUGACGGCCUUCGGGUUGUAAACCGCUUUCGCCUGUGACGAAGCGUGAGUGACGGUAAUGGGUAAAGAAGCACCGGCUAACUACGUG
rnacentral:rRNA from 1 species